rnacentral:rRNA from 1 species
UACGUAGGGCGCAAGCGUUUAUCCGGAAUUAUUGGGCGUAAAGAGCUCGUAGGCGGUUUGUCGCGUCUGCCGGUGAAAGUCCGGGGCUCAACUCCGGAUCUGCGGUGGGUACGGGCAGACUAGAGUGAUGUAGGGGAGACUGGAAUUCCUGGUGUAGCGGUGAAAUGCGCAGAUAUCAGGAGGAACACCGAUGGCGAAGGCAGGUCUCUGGGCAUUAACUGACGCUGAGGAGCGAAAGCAUGGGGAGCGAACAGG